rnacentral:tRNA from 1 species
GGCCCCGUAGCUCAGCAGGAUAGAGCAGCGGUUUCCUAAACCGAAGGUCACAGGUUCGAAUCCUGUCGGGGCCACCA